AAAAGUAAGGGCCCCGGGGGGCCGUCUAAACAACACCCGUGAGCCCUACGGCGCCAUGCCGGAACGGUUUAACCCACUGUGAAAACCCUUGUUGCUUCGGCAGCGCCUCCCCUCGGGGAGGGUCAGCCUGCCGGCGGCACAAACAGCAAAACCCUUUUUAUGCGAAAAGCAGUUUUUUAAAACGUCUGAGAGCGCAGUCGAAUGACACUUA
rnacentral:misc_RNA from 1 species